GCGGAUUUGGUCCGGUCGGAUUCCUUUUCUCCCUUUUUCCAUAAAAACUGUUUAGGAGACGCACCGCGAGCCGAUUCUUUACUUUCUGUUUCUACAUACAUAAUGCAUACACCAACCCAGCAACAAACAAAUAAACCAAAAAAACAAAAACAAUAUUAAUUUAUCUGUAAAAAUUUCCCUUGAAUUUGCUGUUGACCUCUUUCUCCAUUGAUUUUUUUUCUCAACGGGAACUGAUGUCGCCGCUGCUGCUGCUUUUGACUUGAUCAGCAUAACCAAGGCGUGUUUACAAAAGAAGAAUGAUAAAGUUAAAAAGACUAAAAGUUGAUGCUUUGGAAAAUAAAGGAAGUGUUUAGCCUCUGGGAGGAGGACUGUAUACAACACUAAGUUUAAGCCAUAAUCAAGCUACAAUACCAGCAAGAAGUGGCAGGAAAAUAAUAGUUAAGAAAGCAUCGCUAUAUUUCAAUUCCUUGCAAAUUACAAGAAAGAGAAGAAACUAUUGCAGUAAGUGAGCUCACCUUCUAUUUGAGGUUUACUGGGAAAUAUGGUGCAAGCCGUUGAACAUAACGGCGUGCUCGAGAUAGCUCAAAGUGAGCACAAAAAAUCAAAAACAACAAAGAAAAGUAAGGGAGAUGGGAGGCAGGGCAAGAAUCACACUGGUCAAAACUCGCAGAAAUCAAAGGGAAAAAGCUCCAUUCCUACAGGCCCUAUCUCCUUGAAAGUUAAAUUUGGUUCACGUAGCCUGAUGGAUGUUGUUCCUCUUAUUGAUGAUCACAUCAACAAACAGAGUACUUCUGGAGAAGAAUCUAAAGAAUCUCCAAAUGUUACCAGAAAUUUUGAUGAUGGGUUGGAGGCAGAGUUGCCCAGUCUGCAGUUCCCCAGGCACAAUGGAAAUUUGGAUAAUGUGUUUGUUUCUGUCUCCGACAUACGCCAAUCUGGAAAGAACAUCGGUCACGAUCCAGUGGACAAGAUUUUGAACUUUCACCAUGGGUCACCUUCUCAGGAGGGGACAUCAGUUAAUAACAGGUGCACAGAUUCUGGAACUUCUCCUGACUCAGAAGUUAUCAACCUCGUUCCGGAUACUCAAAUUAAUGAGGGAGACCCAGAAGAGUUGAGUGAUUUAAUCCUGUGUAGGUCAUCUGUUGCUCCUGGGAAUGUUCCGAGUUUGCGUGUGUAUGACAGGAGCAAGAAAGGAAGGAAAAAAGAUAGACUCCCACAGUUUGCCAGUUCUGAUUCGAAAGAUCUGCUUAGUUCAGAUACUAUGAGCAAUUUUCAAAUAUUUGGUCAACUCAUCCAAGGAGAAAAGGUACAAGAGGGCUCUUGUUAUGCUGAUACUUCUGCAUUAACAAUAGGUAGGAUUGGCUCAGGCAACAUAUCUUGCACUGAGAUUAUUUCAGGGGAACUGUUACCUUGUUCAGGAAUGGCUGACUUCAAUAUAUCCUGUGCUGCUUCAAAGCUUGGAAGUGGCAUAGAGGGUAAUGUUGGUUCUAUCGUUGGCACCGAGUCACCAGAAACUGAAUUGUCUGAAAAAGUGGUAUCCUGUCAAGAUGGACAAAUUGUUUCCAAAUGUGAAAGAUCAAAUUUUUCUGGCAAAGGCAGGUCACAGGUCCCGGAUACGAAGUCAUCCAAAAGUAGGGGAAGUGCUUCUAAAAAGAAGGGAAACAAAGAAAAGCAAGAUAAUAAACGUGAAGUGAAACAUGAGAAUGGCCAAGUCGAGAGUUUAUCUGAGGUGAAACACCACCCAGGAACAGAAAACGAAGCACCAUACGGGUUUGGAGAAGUUGGAUCCAGAAAUAAAACCUUAAGUGGAGGCAUUUCGGACUUGGACAUCAUGCGGAAUGAGGUGAGUCGGCCUUCUUUACAGCCAAGAAAUGCCUGGGUGCAGUGUGAUGAUUGCCAGAAAUGGAGGCGUAUAGCUUCUGUACUUGCUGAUCAAAUUGAAGAAACAAACUGCAAAUGGACUUGCAAGGAUAAUUUGGAUAGAGACGUGGCUGAUUGCUCGAUUGCACAAGAAAAGUCAAAUUCAGAAAUUAAUGCUGAGCUGGAAAUAUCAGAUGCCUCUGGUGAGGAAGAUGCCCUCGGUAGACGCUUGAAUUCAAAUCAAGCAGGACAGAAGAAGGCACUUGUUCCUGAUCAAUCGUCUUGGACUCUCAUCAAGAAAAACUCAUUCCUGCAUCGUAGCCGCAAAAGUCAACCUAUUGAUGAGAUCAUGGUCUGCCAUUGCAAGCCUUCUGACCGCCGAAUGGGAUGUGGAGAUGGAUGCCUGAAUAGGAUGCUCAACGUUGAGUGUGUUCGGGGGACUUGUCCAUGUGGAGAACGCUGUUCGAAUCAGCAGUUCCAGAAACGUAACUAUGCUAAAUUGAAGUGCUUCAAAUGUGGAAAGAAGGGUUACGGCCUGCAGCUUCUUGAGGAUGUCACCCAAGGGCAGUUUCUUAUUGAAUAUGUUGGGGAGGUGUUGGACUUGCAUGCAUAUGAGGCCAGACAAAAGGAGUAUGCCCUAAAGGGUCAUAAGCAUUUUUAUUUCAUGACACUUAAUGGCAGUGAGGUAAUAGAUGCUUGUGCUAAAGGGAAUUUGGGACGUUUCAUUAAUCAUAGCUGUGAUCCUAAUUGCUGUACAGAAAAGUGGAUGGUCAAUGGAGAGGUUUGCGUUGGACUCUUUGCUUUAAGGGAUAUCAAAAAGGGUGAGGAGGUUACAUUUGAUUACAAUUACGUGCGCGUCUUCGGGGCUGCAGCGAAGAAAUGUGUCUGUGGCUCACCUAGCUGUCGGGGCUACAUAGGUGGAGAUCUACUGAAUGAAGAAGUGAUAGUUCAGGCUGAUUCAGAUGAUGACUACCCUGAACCCAUUGUUUUCUGCGAAGAUGGUGACAUGGAUGAUGAACUAAACAAAAUUCUAUCUGUAAGAAGUUCAUUUGAUGUCACAGAAAUUAGAAGUCAAGGGGAAACACCUAAAAACAAAUAUAAACUGGGUGAACCUUUUACCGGAAACCUGGAGAAUACCAGCCAAACACCCACAGGGAAUAUAAUGGAACAAGAAAAUGUCAGCAAGGAUAACUCUGUUGUCGCUUUUAACAUGAAGAUCAAGGACGAAAGCAACAAAAUCCAUAAUGAAUCUCCAUCGUUUCUGAAGAAGCUGGAAUCAUCUGAGGCAAUGAAGGGGCUAGAAGGCCUGUUGCAUUCUUCUGUACGACCUGUGGGAAAUUCCUUCCAGUCGGAAGAUGUAACCACUAAAACCAUAUCUGAAGUCAAAAGUGAGUGCUUAGAUGCUGACAAAGUUUCUUCUGCACUGCCAUCUCCCAAUGCUAUGCUUAGCAAGUCUUUGACGAAGAAAUCAGGCAAUGGGGGAGCCAGUGAUGAAUUGUCAAAAUCUUCUCGUCGAUCAUCUUCAGUUAAAAAGGGAAAAUUGAAGGAUAGUACUGUAAAUUUAAUAUCUGUACCUGAUGUGAACAACAAAUUGCAAAUUCCACAACCUAAAUUGAAGAAACCAACACAUGAUUCCACAAAUGGUCGUUUUGAAGCAGUUGAAGUGAAGCUUAAUGAAUUGCUGGAUCAUGAUGGUGGAAUAAGCAAACGCAGGGAUGCAUCUAGGUGCUACCUGAAGCUUCUCCUUUUAACUGCUGCUUCAGGGGAUAGCUGCAAUGGUGAAGCUAUUCAGAGUAACCGGGAUCUUUCUAUGAUCCUUGAUGCGCUUUUGAAGACCAAGUCGCGCACUGUUUUGGUGGAUAUUAUUAACAAGAAUGGCUUGCAGAUGUUACACAACAUAAUGAAACGAUAUCGGAGGGAAUUCAACAAGAUCCCAAUUCUCAGAAAGUUGCUUAAGGUUUUAGAGUAUCUGGCUGUGAGAGAGAUUCUUUCGCAUGAGCACAUUAAUGGAGGUCCCUCUAGACCAGGAGUUGAGAGCUUUAGGGACUCAAUUUUGAGAUUGACAGAUCACACAAACAAGCAGGUUCAUCAAAUUGCAAGGAACUUCAGAGAUAGGUGGAUACGUAAACCUCUCCGAAAAAGGAGCUGCAUUGACAGAGAUGACAGCCAGAUUGACGUGCAUCCUUGUCCACAGUCAAAUAGGUGUUCACCAUUACAAGACCAUUGUGGUGUGAAACCUUCAGAAACAGAAGAAUGUACCUGGCAUUUAAUGGGAGAAUCUACUACGACAGAUGCUGGUGUCCGUGAUGGCUCAUCUACUUCAUGUGUUGUUGGGGCACCUAAUAGGGAAAGGAAACGUAAACGUAAGAGUCGAUGGGAUCAAGAGGCCAAAUUAAAUUUAGAUCAAAGAAUUGAAACCAAUGCCGCUGAUGAUCGAAAGCAGGACAUAGAUGAUGUUCCCCCUGGGUUUUCAGUCCCCAUGAAGGUUCCUAGAAUCUCAUGCAGUGCUUCUUCAAGUGCAGAUUGUAGUCUCCAAGAACCUAGUUACAAGAAGCAUCCACAUCCAAUGGUCACAGGGCAUUUGCAGCAGAAGUUUAUAUCACGAUUGCCUGUCUCCUAUGGAAUUCCACUUUCCAAAGUGCUGCAGUUUGGGUCACCUCAAAAAGAAAGACGUGAUGCUUGGGAUGUUGCCCCAGGAGUGCCUUUUCAUCCUUUUCCUCCUUUGCCUACGUAUCCCUGUGAUAGACGAGAUCUUAUAUCUUGUGCAGAUAAAGCUGGAAUUUUUCACGAGCCACCUCAAAAUCCUGGACAAGAUCGUCAUUCUUGUUCUCCGGGCCACCCUGCUCAGAAUCCUCCAUGCCUAUCUGGGUCAAGCCUCCCGCAAGUCUCUGUAAAUACCCAAUUUGAUGUUGAACGUGUUAGGGGCUGUCAUAACUUGGGAAACAAAUAUUUUCGGCAGCAGAAGUGUAUUAAUUCAGAAAAGCCUUCGUGGCAUAGGGGAAGAAGUAGCUGGGGGUGCACAGGAAACAACUCAAAAGAUAGCAUGUGCAGUGUAGAUGUAGCAAGCAGAAAGGAUGAAUCUAGGAGUUUCCCUAUCGAUAGGAUGGAGAAUUUGGGGCAUACUUUUCAACAGAAUCAUUCACAACAAACAUAGUUUAACUUCCAUAGCUGAAAGCCCCCAGGAGCUUCAAAGUUUUUCUCCAGUGCUCCUUUGAACUGAUAAUUCUUUGCCACCAACAGAAUUGUAAAGCACUUAUUCUGUUUUGGGGGGUUUGAGUCCAUAAUUCUUUUUUCCUUUUUUGUUGUUGUUGUUUAGGUUUAGGAAAAAAAAAAAGAGAGAGACUCUGAUUCUGACGUGUGCUGCAUUGGCAAUAUUGUUAUUCAUGCCUCACAGAGUUGCUGCUGUGCCGAACUGUGUUCCUGAUCUGGUUUCUGGCGUUUUGCUGUUGUGGAAAUGUAUGCUUUUUACCUUGAAACUGAUCCUGCUUCAUGCAUUUUAGAAGUAUAUGAUCUCAGUUGCAAUCGUUUUUUACUUUUUUGUUCAGAACACAUUCUAAUGCUUCUUGAACAAAUUGUUCAGUUACACUAGUGAAAAAGGGACAGAGAGAGAGAAAGGUCUCUUGCUAAACUUUUCCUUCUGUCUGUACUCGCAGCUGGAUAACUUGAUUAGAGAUUGUUCGU